AAGAUAAUUUAAAAGCAUCUUUUCUUGAGUUUUCCUUUUCUAGGAUCCUGAUGUUCCCUGCACUGUGCAUAGGAACCAUGUCUGCUGAAUGAAUGUCUGGUGUUUAAUGGAGCAGUAAUAUUUUCUGCUGGCUUCAGGACUGUGCUGUGGCAUCAUGCACAUACUGCCUGAAGGGGGAAUGUCAGUGAUCUGUCUUUGCUCCAUGUCUCCUAGCUUCCUGCCAUUGCUCUUCUGCACUGGCUUCCAGUGUCUUCUAUGUCAUAAUGUGCUUUAAAUAAAGAUCACAAAAAAUACUGCCUGAGCAAAAGAGAACAAUUAAGAACAUCAACUUAGCAACUAUACCACCUUCAGCCCUGCAAAGUCUUCACACUGGUGUUGUUGGUGAGUUUCAUAAGGCAGAAAGAGCACCAUUUACUUUAGGCUAAAAUCAGCUCAAGUGAAGACAACCCAUACAAGUCCUGAGACCCUGAGCUGCCAGCUAAAGUGCAUUUGAAAUAAACCACCUUGAGAUUUCAACAGAAAAAUACCAUUUGUUGUCUCUGGGUCUUCCACAGAUCUGCUGGUAUCAAGCUUAGGAGACAUGCUGUGCUGUCAUUGCUUACCCUCUGUCUCAUACCAUUAGUGUCAUAAAAGAAUUUCUCUGGCAAAAUAAACUGUAAUUGCAACUGUUCAAUGCCCACCUGAGAAAAUAACUUUUAAAACUGAAUGGAUCUAAAAGGUUCAACACAUUCUUUUUCUACCGUGUAUCUGAACAAGACCUACAAAGUACAGGAACAGCCAGGAAUAGCAACUCAUAGUACAUUUAAACCUGUCAGUUUGGGUUUUUUUUUUUGCUUUAAA